UACAGAGGUCCCAAGCGUUGUUCGGAUUCACUGGGCGUAAAGGGUGCGUAGGCGGUCGGGUAAGUCUGAUGUGAAAUCUCACAGCUUAACUGUGAAACUGCAUUGGAUACUAUCCGGCUCGAGGAAUGGAGGGGAGACUGGAAUACUUGGUGUAGCAGUGAAAUGCGUAGAUAUCAAGUGGAACACCAGUGGCGAAGGCGGCUCACUGGCUCAUUUCUGACGCUCAGGCGCGACAGCGUGGGGAUCAAACAGG
rnacentral:rRNA from 1 species